AUACUACUCCCUCCAUUUAGAAUUAUUUGUCCCGGAUAUGGAUGUAUCUAGAACUAAAAUACAUCUAGAUACAUCCAUUUCUGCGACAAGUAAUUCCGAACGGAGGGAGUACAUA
rfam:Triticum urartu cultivar G1812 contig148981, whole genome shotgun sequence.